GAUGAACGCUAGCGGCAGGCUUAACACAUGCAAGUCGAGGGGUAACAGGGGAGCUUGCUCCCGCUGACGACCGGCAAACGGGUGCGUAACACGUACGAAACCUACCACUGUCUUGAGGAUAGCCCAUAGAAAUGUGGAUUAAUGCUCAAUAGUAUAUUUUAGAGGCCUCUCUUUAAUAUUAAAGAUUUAUCGGACAGUGAUGGUCGUGCGCAAGAUUAGCUAGUUGGUGAGAUAAAAGCUCACCAAGGCUCCGAUCUUUAGCUGAUGUGAGAGCAUGAUCAGCCACACGGGCACUGAGACACGGGCCCG
rnacentral:rRNA from 1 species